CAACGCGAAGAACCUUACCUGGCCUUGACAUCCACGGAAUUCGGCAGAGAUGCCUUAGUGCCUUCGGGAACCGUGAGACAGGUGCUGCAUGGCUGUCGUCAGCUCGUGUUGUGAAAUGUUGGGUUAAGUCCCGCAACGAGCGCAACCCUUAUCCUUUGUUGCCAGCGAGUAAUGUCGGGAACUCAAAGGAGACUGCCGGUGACAAACCGGAGGAAGGUGGGGAUGACGUCAAGUCAUCAUGGCCCUUACGGCCAGGGCUACACACGUGCUACAAUGGCGCAUACAAAGAGAAGCGAACUCGCGAGAGCAAGCGGACCUCACAAAGUGCGUCGUAGUCCGGAUCGGAGUCUGCAACUCGACUCCGUGAAGUCGGAAUCGCUAGUAAUCGUAGAUCAGAAUGCUACGGUGAAUACGUUCCCGGGCCUUGUACACACCGCCCGUCACACCAUGGGAGUGGGUUGCAAAAGAAGUAGGUAGCUUAACCUUCGGGAGGGCGCUUACCACUUUGUGAUUCAUGACUGGGGUGAAGUCGUAAC
rnacentral:rRNA from 1 species